AUUGAACGCUGGCGGCAGGCCUAACACAUGCAAGUCGAACGAGUGGCGGACGGGUGAGUAAUUUCUGGGAAACUGCCUGAUGGAGGGGGAUCACUACUGGAAACGGUAGCUAAUACCGCAUACCAUCAGAUGUGCCCAGAUGGGAUUAGCUUGUUGGUGGGGUAACGGCUCACCAAGGCGACGAUCCCUAGCUGGUUCGAGAGGAUGACCGUCCACACUGGAACUGAGACCCGGUCCAGUCGCCGACGGGGGGCAGCAGGGGGGAAUAUUGCACAAUGGGCGCAAGCAUGAUGCAGCCAUGCCGGUUGGAUGAAGAAGGCCUUCGGGUUGUAAAGUACUUUCAGCGGGGAGGCGUUACCCGCAGAAGAAGCACCGGCUAACUCCGUGCCAGCCGCCGCGGUAAUAC
rnacentral:rRNA from 1 species